CCUACGGGGCGCUGCAGUGGGGAAUAUUGGACAAUGGGCGAAAGCCUGAUCCAGCCAUGCCGCGUGUGUGAAGAAGGCCUUCGGGUUGUAAAGCACUUUCAGUGGGGAAGAAAGCCUUGGGGCUAAUACCCUCGAGGAAGGACAUCACCCACAGAAGAAGCACCGGCUAACUCCGUGCCAGCAGCCGCGGUAAUACGGAGGGUGCGAGCGUUAAUCGGAAUUACUGGGCGUAAAGCGCGCGUAGGCGGUCUGAUAAGCCGGUUGUGAAAGCCCCGGGCUCACCCUGGGAACGGCAUCCGGAACUGUCAGGCUAGAGUGCAGGAGAGGAAGGUAGAAUUCCCGGUGUAGCGGUGAAAUGCGUAGAGAUCGGGAGGAAUACCAGUGGCGAAGGCGGCCUUCUGGACUGACACUGACGCUGAGGUGCGAAAGCGUGGGUAGCAAACAGGAUUAGAUACCCGAGUAGUC
rnacentral:rRNA from 1 species